UCCACACCCAAGCUUUGUGUCAUCAUCAACAACCCUUCUUUAACACCUUCUAUGAGAAGAUUGGUUGUCUUUUCUCUCCUAUUUUCAUAUCAACAAUCCUUUGCAAUGACUAUUGUCACCAUAAUUGUAACAAUUAUUCGAGUUACAACCCUUUGCAUAGUGACUAUAGUUGCCACAUUUGAAACUCUCAACAUUUGAGUUGCUUGAUUGACCACCUCUCCACUGACCUCGUCCUUGUCCACGCCAAUAUUGUUGUCCUGAUUGUUCUUUCUCUUCUUCCUAUCUUCGAUCUCUACCUCAAAGACCAUUUAUCUACCUCCU
rnacentral:lncRNA from 1 species